ensembl:lncRNA
CAAGAUUUUAAUUUAGUGUAAUUUUAUUAACAUUUCAACUUAAUCAAAUAUAUAAUGCAAUGAUAUAAUUUUAAAACGUUUUUGAUUGGAUGUAGAAGUGGAAACUGUUAAAUUAUACCUUUAAAUCAAUAAACUAGAAACAGAACAAUCCCAAUCCACUUAACCUGAGAUAAACUCACUGUUUAAAUGUGACCAGUAUAUUUCCAUUAGAUUGUGUUAGAGAUAGGUACAGCAGUCCCAGAUAUUCAGGACAAUCCAUCAGAGCGCCAACAUCCCAGUCACAGUUAAAAAAGCUGUGUGGGUCAUCUGGGUUGGCAUAACGGUCAUGUUAGUAAUGAUGCUUGCCGACGUGGUCACAGCAGUCGCACGAUUCGUAAAAGACCAGAUCUGAAGGACAAUACAUCAGAGCGCCAUGACUCCAGUCACAGUUAAAAAAGCUGUGUGGGUCAUCUGGGUUGGCAUAACGUCCAUUUUUGCCUUCACAGACGUUCCCUGUACAUAGAAGAAAAGAGGGAGUAUUACAAUUCUAUGAG